UGAAUUCUUGGAGGAUGGGAACCAGGCCCACACAUCUCCACAUUGGCAGCACCCAGUAUGAAGCCUGGUUCAUAGAAGAUGCUAAGUAAAUAAUUCUUAAGGGCAUAGAGAAUAUCUUAUAUCUUUACUAUAUCUCAAACAGUGAAGAAAUGGCAGCAAGACUGCUACCUCUUCUCCACGUCACUUCUGUUAAAAUUACCUGAUUGUCGGUGGUACUAAAAGAUCAAGACUAGAGAGGAGGUGGUUCCAAGAUGGCCAAAUAGGAACAGCUCCAGUCUACAGUUCCCAGCGUGAGUGAUGCAGAAGAUGGGUGAUUUCUGCAUUUCCAACUGAGGUACUGGGUUCAUCUCACUGGGACUCGUCGGACAGUGGGUGCAAGACAGUGGGUGCAGCCCACCAAGCGUGAGCUGAAGCAGGGCAAGGCAUCGCCUCACCUGGGAAGUGCUAGCAAUUAGGAAAUUCCCUUUCCUAGCCAAGGGAAGCUGUGACAGACGGCACCUGGAAAAUCAGGUCACUCCCACCCUAAUACUGCGCUUUUCCAAUGGUCUUAGCAAACAGCACACCAGGAGAUUAUAUCCCGUGCAUGGCUCGGAAGGUCCCACGCCCAUGGAGCCUCGCUUAUUGCUAGCACAGCAGUCUGAGAUGGAACUGCAAGGCGGCAGCGAAGCUGAGGGAGGAGCGCCUGCCAUUGCUGAGGCUUGAGUAGGUAAACAAAGCAGCCAGGAAGCUCGAACUAGGUGGAGCCCACCGCAGCUCAAGGAGGCCUGCCUGCCU
rnacentral:lncRNA from 10 species